CUAUAAAAGGUCCCGACAUGAAAAAUAAGAAUCAAUACCUUUCGAAUUUAACUGACGGCCUAAUUCAUAAUAAAACAAUUUACGAAAAAUAUAUAUGACAGACAUGAACCAACGACAACCACUGAACUACGAGCUCUUGACUUGAAACAGGUACAUAAAGAAUUUGGCAGGGUUAAAAAUGUCUGUGUGCGCUCAUUUCUCCCCAAAACUAGCACAGCACAAGACCAAACUAUAAAAAAUCAGAUGAAUGAUCGGAUCAUCAUACUAUUAUUGACGAUAUCAGACCAGGUGCGGAUCCCGCCUUUCUGCAAAAGGGGGAUCCAAACCACGGAACACACUGAAACGUCCACAAAAUAAAAAAUAAUCGGAAAAAAUGGGGUUUCAACCACCAAAACUCCCUCUCCCCGCAUACCGGAUCCGCUAAUGCAGGCUGCAUCCAUUCAAAUAAAAGCUUCAAACAUCAUUAACACUUUUAAGUGUGUAAUUUAGGUUUUAAAAAAAUGAAAAAAACAAUACCAAAUAAGUAACUGUUAAAUCGUAACAGAAAAAGGAGAGAAAAAUCAUGCCAGACAUAUAUUGUAUUGGAUUGCAGUAGUUUUAAUAAAUAUUUAUAUGACAAAAGUAUCAUGGAAAACAUAAACUGAUCAUGAAUGUGUCAGAAGAGAUAGUAGUAAGCAUUAUCUACUUAAGAGUUAUAAUUAGUCAUAUGCCACUAGAAACUAUUACAGCAAAAUGCAAUGAGUGUGUAGGAAAAAGUAAUACCUUUGACUAGCUUGCUUGCUAGCUGGACCGUGAAGUCAUAACAAGGUAAAGUAGGUUACCCUCCUUUCGGAGUAGUCUAGUUGGCCAAACGAUGAAAAGAAAAGCUCCAAGCGAUUGUACAGGAAGGCUCCGAGUGAUAUUACAGUAAACUUGCAAGCGAUUGUACAGUCAAUAAAAAUAUCCGACAUGGAGAAAAUGAAUAUAUUUAGAUUUCUACUGGGACAAUGGCUUUGAAACUUUCAGAUAGGUAAGACUAUAUAUCAGAAAAAGGUACAUGUGAAAAUUCAGGUAGCAAACAUUGAUUUUUCGAUGUUUAUUUGACAUUUUUGAUCGCUGUUGUGUGACAAUUUUGAUCGUUUUACACGGAGC
rnacentral:lncRNA from 1 species